rnacentral:rRNA from 1 species
UACGUAGGGGGCAAGCGUUGUCCGGAUUUAUUGGGCGUAAAGAGCGUGUAGGCGGCUAGAUAGGUCUGUUGUGAAAACUCGAGGCUCAACCUCGAGACGUCGAUGGAAACCAUCUGGCUAGAGUCCGGAAGAGGAGAGUGGAAUUCCUGGUGUAGCGGUGAAAUGCGCAGAUAUCAGGAAGAACACCCGUGGCGAAGGCGGCUCUCUGGUACGUGACUGACGCUGAGACGCGAAAGCGUGGGGAGCAAACAGG